CGGUGUAGCGGUGAAAUGCGUAGAUAUCGGGAAGAACACCAGUGGCGAAGGCGCUCUGCUGGGCCAUCACUGACGCUCAUGGACGAAAGCCAGGGGAGCGAAAGGGAUUAGAUACCCCUGUAGUCCUGGCCGUAAACGAUGAACACUAGGUGUCGGGGGAAUCGACCCCCUCGGUGUCGUAGCCAACGCGUUAAGUGUUCCGCCUGGGGAGUACGCACGCAAGUGUGAAACUCAAAGGAAUUGACGGGGGCCCGCACAAGCGGUGGAGUAUGUGGUUUAAUUCGAUGCAACGCGAAGAACCUUACCAGGGUUUGACAUCCUGCGAAUCUCUUGGAAACAGGAGAGUGCCUUCGGGAACGCAGUGACAGGUGGUGCAUGGCUGUCGUCAGCUCGUGUCGUGAGAUGUUGGGUUAAGUCCCGCAACGAGCGCAACCCACGUCUUUAGUUGCCAGCAUUUAGUUGGGCACUCUAGAGAGACUGCCGGUGAUAAACCGGAGGAAGGUGUGGAUGACGUCAAGUCAUCAUGCCCCUUACAUCCUGGGCUACACACGUACUACAAUGCUACGGACAAAGGGCUGCAAGUUCGCGAGGACAAGCAAAUCCCAUAAACCGUGGCUCAGUUCAGAUCGUAGGCUGCAACUCGCCUACGUGAAGGCGGAAUCGCUAGUAAUCGCAGGUCAGCAUACUGCGGUGAAUACGUUCCCGGGCCUUGUACACACCGCCCGUCACACCAUGGAAGUUGGCCACGCCCGAAGCCGUUACUCCAACCCUUGUGGAGGAGGACGUCGAAGGUGGGGCUGAUGACUGGGGUGAAGUCGUAACAAGGUAACCGUA
rnacentral:rRNA from 1 species